rnacentral:rRNA from 1 species
AGCCUUUCGGGGUGGAUUAGUGGCGAACGGGUGAGUAACACGUGGGCAAUCUGCCCUUCACUCUGGGACAAGCCCUGGAAACGGGGUCUAAUACCGGAUAACACUCCUGCCUGCAUGGGUAGGGGUUGAAAGCUCCGGCGGUGAAGGAUGAGCCCGCGGCCUAUCAGCUUGUUGGUGGGGUAAUGGCCUACCAAGGCGACGACGGGUAGCCGGCCUGAGAGGGCGACCGGCCACACUGGGACUGAGACACGGCCCAGACUCCUACGGGAGGCAGCAGUGGGGAAUAUUGCACAAUGGGCGAAAGCCUGAUGCAGCGACGCCGCGUGAGGGAUGACGGCCUUCGGGUUGUAAACCUCUUUCAGCAGGGAAGAAGC